GCCCGGCGCAGGGGCGGGCCGAGCGCCCGGCGCUGCAGCGCCCCCUCGGGCGGGGGAGUGGAGACGCAGCCGCGCGGGAGCCCGGGGGCCGAGGGUUCCGGCGAGGGCAAGUCUCUUUGUCUCGUUACUCCGCUGGAGGGAAGACGCGGGGAAGACCCCCGGCCUGAAAACUUGGAAGUUCUCGGCUCUGCGCCCCUCACCCGCCAGAGUUCCGGACGAACUGGCCGGGCGCCGACCUCUGCUUGGCGCUGAAUAUGCGCAUAAUAAAAUACUUGCUGAAUGAAUGGGUGAGUGAAUGGGAUGGUGCUUGGCCAGCGCUGGGCACCUGACACACCCUCCCUUCUAACCCAGCCGAUAAGCAACGGGAUCAGGGCCUUCCUUGUCUGCUGAGACGUGGACUGUAAGUGUAUUGCAAGCUUUCAGAGUUAGACGAAAGCCCUCUGGCAGGAUGAUCAGCUGGGUGAACUCACAACCUUGCAAAAAUCCUUGGAGCGCCAGGAAGCUCAUAAGAGUUCUACUAAAAGACUGAUUUUUCCAGCCCUAACCUGCUUCUUCCGGUGAAAAAAAAAAUUUUUUUUUUUUUUUCUGUAACCAAGGCUAGGUUCCUGAAGACCUCCUUCAGAGUGACCCAGAAAUCCCAGGAUCUGGGUGAAUGCAAAUAGUUCAAUAGUUUGUUCUUUCUUUCGUUUGUUUGUUUAAAAGGUCAACGUCAUUUAUUCCCACAAGUUCUACAUCUUGUGGGACAGUAAAAUGCAGAGAAAGAAAGAAAACUUAGUUCUAAGACCUUUUGACCCCAACAACAUGCAAAUAACUCGUGGGUUUGCAAAUGAUUUCUCCGAAACAUCUGGCUUCUCAGAGCAAUAACUAUUCUACCCACAAAUACUGAUUAUACCCUACCUUACCACACACACACAAAAAAUAAGUGGACUCCCAAGCACAGGCCUCAAGGGUUUUCCCAUGUGUUGGAAGCACCUCUUUCCUCUCUUAGGAGGAAAAAAAAAUAGUCACAGUGUUUCUAGUACCAUGUAGAGCUAAACAAUUAACCCUUAAAUUGUACACUAUCAGAUUUUCUAGUUGUAUAGUUUAUCAUUUUAUAUACAUUAUAACUCGACCCCAUGGACUGUAGCCUAACAGGCUCCUCCCUCCAUGGGAUUCUCCAGGCAAGAGUACUGGAGUGGGUUGCCAUUUCCUUCUCUAGGGGAAUCUUCCCAACCCAGGGACCAAAGCUGGGUCUCCCACAUUCCAGGCAGACGCUUUAACCUCUGAGCCACCAGGAAAGCCCGAUGCUCAAACCAGUCGAUCCUAAAGGACAUCAACCCUGAAUAGUCAUUGGAAGGACUGACGCUGAAGCAGAAGCUCCAGCCACCUGAUGCGAAGAGCUGACUCAUUGGAAAAGACACGCUGGGAAGGACUGAAGGCGGGAGGAGAAGGCAUAACAGAGGAUGAGAUAGUUGGAUGGCAUCACCGACUCCACAGACGCCAAACUAUGGUGGAGGUAAUGAAGAGAAUGGCGACCUCCUUCAGAAGGUCCCAUGAUGCACUGCUGCACUCAGCGCCCCCAGCCCUGCAGCAGCCUCGGCAGGAGACUCGCGGACACCCACAGGCAAGUCCGGGGCAGUCUCCUGUGGGGUCACUCUCCUUUCUCCUGGGUCCUGGUGCACAGGCUUCUGUUUGUGCCCUCCAAGAGCCUAUUUCCCAGUCCUGUGUACGUCCUGGCAGCUCUACGGUGGGGUUAAUGGCAACCUCCUCUAAGAGGGCUUUUUCCACACCCAAGUCUGCUGCACCCAGAGCCCCUGUCCCCGCGGCCGCCGCCCGUACCUCUGCAGGAGAUGCUCACACACAGUUCUGUCUCAGCCUCUGUGCGCAUGAGGUUUGUUUGAGCUCUCUGAGCAUCUCCAGUUGUGUCUGAAGUGGCGCUGCCCCACCAUAGUUUGGCCCCAGGCAAAUAGCAGGGAGGGAACACAGCUCCGCCCAUCAACAGAAAAUUGGAUUAAGGAUUUACUGAGCAUGGCCCCGCCCAUCAGAACAAGACCCAGUUUCCCCCUCAGUCAGCCCUGCACCCUGCCGUGAGCCUCGGCCACACCUGGCCUGCUAACCUCUUCUCUCUCUGGUUCUCACAGUGUCCAGCUCAAUAGACAGUUCUGGACGGGCAACCAGAAUCUUUCCCCAUCUAUCUGCCGCCGGACGUAGGGCCAGUCCUUUCUAAUUACCACUAAGCCCAGAGCUGGGCGGCAGAACAAUUACGUGAAGACUACAGAUUGUUUGAACUUCAAAGGGCUUCCCAAUAUAGACAAAAACACUCAACAGUCCAAAUGCAAAAAAAGCCUGAUGUGAGGUAAACAAGGAUGAAAAUUUCCCAUUUAAUUUUUUGCCUUCCAAAUUGAGGAAGAUUUGUUUUUAAAAAUGUUAAUGAGAGUUCAGGGAAGCAAGCCUUUUUCCACGUGCUGGUGGGAGUAAAAUUCAGAUUG
ensembl:lncRNA